UAAGGAUGAUCAAGAAUUGGAACUCUUUUAAAAAAGAACUUUCCUUUUUGAUCUCACUAGACAAUAAAGGUCUUAAACAGUUUUGUUUAAACCUUGUACAUAUGACACAAACGCCUCAUGAACCCCCUCUUAAAGGGAGGUCCCUCUUUGAUAAAAAGAGUCCCCUACCUCCAUAAGAAAGUUCUAUGAAAGCCAAGUGUUCAUAUGGUAAGUUAUACAAGCAGACAGGCCGUCUUCGUUUCUCUUUCUUCAGAUGAUGAUCCCAAGCCUUCUGGCGAUCUGUUAGCAAUAAUGCGCCCUUAUUUUGAAUGGUGCUUUAAAGAAAAGAGCUCUAAAAAGCUUUUGUGUUAAGAGUAUGCCGGGGUAGGUUUUCCGGUUUAUCCCGGAGGGCUUG
rnacentral:misc_RNA from 1 species